rnacentral:tRNA from 1 species
GCUCCUUUAGCUCAGUUGGUAGAGCGUCAGUCUCAUAGGCUAAUUACUUCAAGUUAUCUGAAGGUCGAGAGUUCGAACCUCCCAGGGAGCA